GCGGGAGUAACUCAGUGGUAGAGUUCCUGCCUUCCAAGCAGGUUGUCGCGGGUUCGAGCCCCGUCUCCCGCUCCA
rnacentral:tRNA from 1 species